AUGGUGGUCGAUGCUCUUGCGGCCAUUCUGGACAAGGCUACGGCCGCGGGCCAUAUUAGUGGGAUCACCGCCCACUUGACUGGGGGCGUUGGCAUCUCCCUGCUCCAGUACGCUGACGACACCAUCAUCAUGGUCGAAGGCUCAGAUACGGACAUCGCUAGCCUUAAAUUCCUCCUCGUCUGCUUCCAACAAAUGUCUGGUCUUAAGAUCAACUUCGACAAGAGCGAUGUGAUGGUGAUGGGCUAUUCCCCGGCUGAGGCCCUUGACAUUGCCAACCGCCUCAAUUGCCGCCUGGGUUCCUUCCCAACGACCUACCUGGGAACGCGCAUUAGUGACUCUCGGCUCACUGUGGCGGACCUUCGUCCUGCGGUGACCAAGUUGCAAACGCGCAUUGAGCCUUGGCAAGGUCGGUGGCUCUCGAAGGCGGCCCGGACGAUUCUCAUCAACUCCUCGCUCUCUAGUCUCCUCUUAUUCCUUAUGAGCUUCUACAGCCUCCACGAGACCCUCCAUCACGAGAUCGCUAAAAUCCAAUCGCGCUUCUAUUGGGCUGGGGACAAUAACAAGCAGAACUAUCAUAUGGUUAGUUGGCCCGACAUCUGCAAGCCCCGGGAGCAGGGAGGCCUUGGCAUCAUGUGCUCGAAGCGCAUGAACAUUGCCCUCCUCUCCCGCUGGCUCUGGCGCAUCUCACAAGGGCAUGGCGGUCUGUGGUUAGACAUCAUCCGGAAUAAAUACUUGCGUGGCCAACCUCUGGCCUUCUGCCAACGUUCGGGUGGAUCCCAGUUCUAG
rnacentral:rRNA from 1 species